AUAUCAUUAAGCGGAGGAAAAGAAACUAACAAGGAUGCCCUUAGUAACGGCGAGUGAAGCGGGCAAAGCUCAAACUGAAAAUCGGGUCUCCAUGCGGGGAUUCGAAUUGUAGUCUAUAGACGCAGCGUCAGUAGUGACCCAGGUAUAAAUCUUUUGAAACAAGGUAUCAUAGAGGGUGAGAAUCCCGUCUUUGACUUGGAGUUCAUUGCGUACGACCUGUGCUCAAAGAGUCGAGUUGCUUGGGAUUGCAGCUCUAAUUGGGUGGUAAAUUUCAUCUAAAGCUAAAUAACGAUCAGAGACCGAUAGCAAACAAGUACCGUGAGGGAAAGAUGAAAAGAACUUUGAAAAGAGAGUUAAAAAGUACUUGAAAUUGUUAAGAAGGAAGCGCUGGAAACCAGUCGUGCCGAUUGGCGUAUCAGCCCAUUCGUGGGGUGGAUGCAGUAAGCCGAGAGCCUUAAACCUCGGUCUAUGCGGAAGCUUCAUGAUAGGGACGCGCGUCAGUUGGUGAGUCAGAAUCGUUUUGUUUCGCGUGAGAAAGCUGACGGGAAGGUAGGUUGGCGGGGGCAACCCCAACGGCUGUUAUAGCCUGUCAGUCCUAGCGUGGAGCAGAUCGAGGUAACAACACG
rnacentral:rRNA from 1 species